rnacentral:lncRNA from 1 species
UUUUCAAUUGCUCAACUUCGAUUUUUAAAUCAUGAAAGGUGGUAUCUCUAGCAGGGAUUUUAUUCAAAGCAAGACGUCUAUUUACUUCAGCUAAGGAAUAAGAUAAGGGAUGAUUUUCAAAAGAGUUAUCUUUUGAAGUACUAGGAUUAGCAGAAGUUUUUUGAGUAGCAAACUUGAGGAUUUUUUCACGCAGUUUGUCAUCAGUGAUUUCCUUUAAUAAUUCAAGGACAUUUUCAGCAGUAAGAGUUUGAAUUUUUAAAUCAAUAUCUUCGAAUUGCGCUUGCAAUUUAUACAUUGUUUCAUCACAAUUGCAAACAUCAUUAUCACAAUCAUUACAUUUAUCAUCCUGAUCGAGCUCACUUUCGGAAUUAGGUAAUUCAAAAUCAUUUUCAGAAAUUCUCUCUCUCUCUCUGUAAUAUAUUCAAGCAAUAAAUAAGGAAGCAGUUACUUGUUUGCUACCAUUUCCGUUGGGUUCCCGGCAAAUCAGGUACCUAUCUUUUUAUUUAGAGUUAUUCAAACAAAACUUCUACCAUAAUCUGGCCGUGACUAUGUCCGGCUGAACAGUAUCUUAUAUCUAUGCUGAAGAUCUAACUUCGCUGACAUGUUAACUAUGAAAGCUCCAGACUCUAUCAAAAUAUGAAAGAAUCUUUUUAAUUUCUUGACUUGGUUCCAAAAUGGAGGUACAGUCGAGUUCAAUAGACUUAUGUUAACCUUGUCUCUGUGACACCGUCUAGUAAGUUGUGCUUCUCUAGCCCGUAUUGAUGAUGAGAAAAGGGCGAAUUUCCGCACAAUUAGAACUUCUAGACACAAAGGUUCAACAUAAGGUUAUUAAAUCUCUGACAGGCCCCAUGUUUGGGUAAAAGAAUCGUCCAUACAGUCAUAAAAUUACUUUAGAUUCUUUCCUAUUUCGGUUGGUGCUUUGGUUCGGUCUUCCGACUUUGGCUUAAUCCGAUAUUAUUAUAUGGUCUGGUAGGCUGAGUGGCAUACCCCAGCCUAAUAGAUCCUGUAAAUGGUAUC